GACGAACGCUGGCGGCGUGCCUAAUACAUGCAAGUCGAGCGGACCAAACAGGAGCUUGCUCUUGUUUGGUUAGCGGCGGACGGGUGAGUAACACGUGGGUAACCUGCCCGUAAGACCGGGAUAACUCCGGGAAACCGGAGCUAAUACCGGAUAACACCGAAGACCGCAUGGUCUUUGGUUGAAAGGCGGCUUCGGCUGCCACUUACGGAUGGGCCCGCGGCGCAUUAGCUAGUUGGUGAGGUAACGGCUCACCAAGGCGACGAUGCGUAGCCGGCCUGAGAGGGUGACCGGCCACACUGGGAAUGAGACACGGCCCAGACUCCUACGGGAGGCAGCAGUAGGGAAUCUUCCGCAAUGGACGAAAGUCUGACGGAGCGACGCCGCGUGAGCGAAGAAGGUCUUCGGAUCGUAAAGCUCUGUUGUUAGGGAAGAAGAAGCGCCGUUCGAACAGGGCGGCGCGGUGACGGUACCUAACGAGAAAGCCCCGGCUAACUACGUG
rnacentral:rRNA from 1 species